rnacentral:rRNA from 1 species
UACAGGGGGGGCAAGCGUUGUUCGGAAUUACUGGGCGUAAAGGGUUCGUAGGUGGCCACUUAAGUCAGACGUGAAAUCCCUCAGCUUAACUGGGGAACUGCGUCUGAUACUGGAUGGCUUGGAUUUGGGAGAGGGAUGCGGAAUUCCAGGUGUAGCGGUGAAAUGCGUAGAUAUCUGGAGGAACACCGGUGGCGAAGGCGGCAUCCUGGACCAACAUUGACGCUGAGGAGCGAAAGCCAGGGGAGCAAACGGG